GCAGACACAUUCCAGCCAAUCAGCAGCAGACCCUCUCUCCCAGACCCUCUCACCUCCUGGACAGCAUCCAUUUUACAUUCUUAGAGAGCUGUCCAGGAGGUGGGAGGGUCUGGGAGAGAGGGUCUGCUGCUGAUUGGCUGGAAUGUGUCUG